AAUAAGUUUAUUUUUUUAGUUUUUGGAUAUAAUGUUUUGACUCUUUCAUCUUAUUUAAUUUUUUUGUUAUUAAUAUUUUUAUUGUUACUAGAUGAUAAAACAUGAAUAGUACUUUAUGUGUGACUAAUUUGUUUUAAGUUUUUAUACAAAUUUUUUAAAUAAGACGAAUGGUCAAACGUUGGACACAGAAAAUUGAAAAAUAAACUUAUU
rnacentral:pre_miRNA from 1 species